rnacentral:rRNA from 1 species
CCUACGGGUGGCAGCAGUGGGGAAUAUUGCGCAAUGGGCGAAAGCCUGACGCAGCGACGCCGCGUGAGGGAUGAAGGUCUUCGGAUCGUAAACCUCUGUCAGCAGGGAAGAAAGGUCACUGUGCUAAUCAGCAGUGAAUUGACGGUACCUGCAAAGGAAGCACCGGCUAAAUCCGUGCCAGCAGCAGCGGUAAUAAGGAGGGUGGGAGCGUUAAUCGGAAUGACUGGGCGUAAAGCGCUCGUAGGCGGUAUGUCAAGUCAAGGGUGAAAUCCCCGCGCUCAACGUGGGAACUGCCUGUGAAACUGGCAAACUGGAGUGUGUGAGAGGAUAGUGGAAUUCCAGGUGUAGUAGUGAAAUCCGUAGAUAUCUGGAGGAACAUCAGUGGCGAAGGCGACUAUCUGGCACAUAACUGACGCUGAGGAGCGAAAGCGUGGGUAGCAAACAGGAUUAGAUACCCUAGUAGUC